CAAUGGUUUUAUCUUCUGGUUCUAAUAUGAACGGUUGUAGGCCGUAACUGUCGCGUAAAACUCGCCAUCAUGGGUGUGGUGGGUGGCGACGUAGCUCGUCACAAUGGGGAUUCCCGGAAACAAACCAGAGAACUCGAAAACGAGAAAAAAAACAAAUAUCGAUAAACUCUCCGGUAAUGGGUUUUCAUCAGCAACCCAAAACUUAGGGUUUCGGCGCAGCAGGUUAUGUGUACAUGUUCUAGAGAAGACGCGUGUGUUCGUGCUGUCCUUUUUCCCCAUUGUAACCCACAUCACCGCCUAAAUCGGCACAAAGCCUCUCCAGUCAUCGCUCACCACCGUUCUUCCCCAAAUCAACGUCGGCUACAUAACACUACAACACCACAAGCCAAGCGAUGGUUUUUUCCAGGCUAUCAGGGCUCCAACAGUAAGAAGACGGAGGCGGCGCGAGGCACCCGCUUAACACCGGCAAGAAUUUUGAUCCGACGAGUUCUCUGGUGACCGAUGUCCUGGUUGUUGUUAUAUUUUUAUGCUCACGGUGUCGGCGACCUAACACCACAAGCCAAGCGAUGGUUUAUGUCAGGCUAUUAGGGCUCCAACCGUAAGAAGAUGGAGUGCAAGAAUUUUGGUAACUUCACUUGAGGUGGCUCCAUUGGACCUGCAAAAGCUACUUAUAUAUCUGAAGGAAGAAUAUGGAAAUCCUCCUAUUUACAUCCAUGAAAAUGGCCAAGUAGAAUCCCAUAAUGGAACAAUGGCGGACACUCCGAGGGUAGAGUUCUUGCAUGCCUAUAUCGGUGGUGUGUUGGAUGCACUAAGUGUUGGCUAGCUUUGAGUUCCUUGAAAAGGUUGGGGUGGACAGGCACGUGUUGCUUUCAUGAUAUAGAUGUUGCUCCCGAUGGUCAAAGAUUGAAGGUAACUUGACCCGACUUAUUAUCAUAAUACUUAAUAAUGUUUGAUUAUAGAAAAUAAACAUAUUCAUGUGUACUUGGGUCUUUAUUUACUUUUUGUCGAGUUUGGCAUCUACUGGAUCCGCAAAGAGUUGCAUGAUAUGAAAUCUCUAUACAAGUGACGCCAUGCCGCUCAUCAUAUCUACAAUACCCUUUCCCCUUUUGCUGUCAGGAUUGGCAUUCCACCUUAUAGACGGGAUACCGCAGGCAGUACCACAUGUAAUUGCUCUGUAUCUUGGCCCAACACAUUUCGCGACUGCAUUCAUGGGAAGUUAUAACCAGUAGUGGUGCAGGGUGAUGGACUGGAUGUCCAGUACCCUUCGUGAUCCUUUGGAAGACAGGCCAAGAAUACACAAUAAUCAACAAAUUUUGGAAUUAAAAAAAAACAUUUAUUGAUGGGUGUUAAGAUGUCUGUGACUGUUUUUGUUUGUAAGGUGACGGUUGAAUUGUUUGAUGCCAUUAGGGGAAAAGAGAAGAGGUUUGGGGAGGUUUCCUUCUCCUUAGAGUAGAAGUUUUAGAUAUAUAUGAACUGAUAAGAUCAUUAGAGGUGUAGCCUUUGUGAUAUCAUUUGUUCAAAGCGUCGCCCCCUUGAGGUUCCCAGUUAAGUUAAAUGCAUGAUACUCUCUACAAGUGCCACCACCCUCAAACUCUAUACGAUUGUCUCUUUUCAUCUAUUUCGCCUCUCAGUCAGUGACUGCUGCUAUUUCUUUUGUUACUCGCGACUUGCAUCUCCACCUCGACGUCGCAGACCGCAGUCAUAGUUAUAGAAGGAGUCACAACUACAGGUGCUAUUUUAGAUGAUUGUAGUGAGUGGCUCACCAACAUACUAAUCCAGCAGUGAUAAGCCUCUCCUGAACCAGAACAAGAUGACAAUGUGACACUAACUUGAACUAUAAAAUGGCUACAACAUUCGUGUUUUUCAUAUUUGAAUGUGGUUAUGUAUUGUAUUGAUUUGUGUUUCUUCCUUACUCGCACGCGCCGCAACGCGGGCGGGUCUAUCUUCUAGUUACUGUUAUUAUAAUAAUAAAACACUAUUCAUUAA